rnacentral:rRNA from 2 species
GACGAACGCUGGCGGCGUGCCUAAUACAUGCAAGUCGAACGAACUCUGGUAUUGAUUGGUGCUUGCAUCAUGAUUUACAUUUGAGUGAGUGGCGAACUGGUGAGUAACACGUGGGAAACCUGCCCAGAAGCGGGGGAUAACACCUGGAAACAGAUGCUAAUACCGCAUAACAACUUGGACCGCAUGGUCCGAGUUUGAAAGAUGGCUUCGGCUAUCACUUUUGGAUGGUCCCGCGGCGUAUUAGCUAGAUGGUGGGGUAACGGCUCACCAUGGCAAUGAUACGUAGCCGACCUGAGAGGGUAAUCGGCCACAUUGGGACUGAGACACGGCCCAAACUCCUACGGGAGCCAGCAGUAGGGAAUCUUCCACAAUGGACGAAAGUCUGAUGGAGCAACGCCGCGUGAGUGAAGAAGGGUUUCGGCUCGUAAAACUCUGUUGUUAAAGAAGAACAUAUCUGAGAGUAACUGUUCAGGUAUUGACGGUAUUUAACCAGAAAGCCACGGCUAACUACGUGCCAGCAGCCGCGGUAAUACGUAGGUGGCAAGCGUUGUCCGGAUUUAUUGGGCGUAAAGCGAGCGCAGGCGGUUUUUUAAGUCUGAUGUGAAAGCCUUCGGCUCAACCGAAGAAGUGCAUCGGAAACUGGGAAACUUGAGUGCAGAAGAGGACAGUGGAACUCCAUGUGUAGCGGUGAAAUGCGUAGAUAUAUGGAAGAACACCAGUGGCGAAGGCGGCUGUCUGGUCUGUAACUGACGCUGAGGCUCGAAAGUAUGGGUAGCAAACAGGAUUAGAUACCCUGGUAGUCCAUACCGUAAACGAUGAAUGCUAAGUGUUGGAGGGUUUCCGCCCUUCAGUGCUGCAGCUAACGCAUUAAGCAUUCCGCCUGGGGAGUACGGCCGCAAGGCUGAAACUCAAAGGAAUUGACGGGGGCCCGCACAAGCGGUGGAGCAUGUGGUUUAAUUCGAAGCUACGCGAAGAACCUUACCAGGUCUUGACAUACUAUGCAAAUCUAAGAGAUUAGACGUUCCCUUCGGGGACAUGGAUACAGGUGGUGCAUGGUUGUCGUCAGCUCGUGUCGUGAGAUGUUGGGUUAAGUCCCGCAACGAGCGCAACCCUUAUUAUCAGUUGCCAGCAUUAAGUUGGGCACUCUGGUGAGACUGCCGGUGACAAACCGGAGGAAGGUGGGGAUGACGUCAAAUCAUCAUGCCCCUUAUGACCUGGGCUACAUACGUGCUACAAUGGAUGGUACAACGAGUUGCGAACUCGCGAGAGUAAGCUAAUCUCUUAAAGCCAUUCUCAGUUCGGAUUGUAGGCUGCAACUCGCCUACAUGAAGUCGGAAUCGCUAGUAAUCGCGGAUCAGCAUGCCGCGGUGAAUACGUUCCCGGGCCUUGUACACACCGCCCGUCACACCAUGAGAGUUUGUAACACCCAAAGUCGGUGGGGUAACCUUUUAGGAACCAGCCGCCUAAGGUGGGACAGAUGAUUAGGGUG